CAGCCGCCGCGGUAAUACGUAGGGUGCAAGCGUUAAUCGGAAUUACUGGGCGUAAAGCGUGCGCAGGCGGUUUGUUAAGACAGAUGUGAAAUCCCCGGGCUCAACCUGGGAACUGCAUUUGUGACUGGCAAGCUAGAGUGUGGCAGAGGGGGGUGGAAUUCCGCGUGUAGCAGUGAAAUGCGUAGAUAUGCGGAGGAACACCGAUGGCGAAGGCAGCCCCCUGGGCCAACACUGACGCUCAUGCUCGAAAGCGUGGGGAGCAAACAGGAUUAGAUACCCGCGUAGUCCCUGUCUCUUAUAC
rnacentral:rRNA from 1 species